UCUCUUGUAGUAUAAUGGCUAAAUUACACACACCGGGUUAUUGAGUUCAUAUACCAGUUGUCUGUGUGGGAUCUGGGUUCGAUUCCCAGUGAGAGAA